GAGGGUUUUUAGUCGGUAGACACUCCUACCAGAAGUGAAUCCGACACUACCCCCCCCUUUUGGGGGGUGUCUUUAGAAGAUUUCCCCUC
rfam:Agrilus planipennis Contig38208, whole genome shotgun sequence.